rnacentral:lncRNA from 1 species
GCGGAAAACUUAGGAAGAGCUGGAUGCCUCCCACGGAGAGCGUCCCUUCCAAGCGGCCCCGGAGUGGAGUGGAGUGGAUAGGGGUAGACUUUUCACACGGGGACAAAUUAUUACAGGAUAUCUGCACCCCCCGUUCCGAGUCACUCGGGCGCAUCGGUUACUUCAGCAGGUUCUCUGCAUCACGGACCCUUUUGAGGCUCAGGCCCUGUCCUACCAUGAGCUGAAGAGGCAGCAACAUACGUGUUUGGAGUUUAGUAGGGACUGAGAAGCGGGGAAAAGAACUGCCUAACCAAAGGGAAUCUGUGUGAGAAGGCAUGCCUUCAUACUUCAGGCAGUUUACAAGACAGCCUUAGCUUUCGUUUUCUGCUUGCUACGAGCCUUAAGGUCAGCCAGAAGCGAGUGACUGGAAACUUCUUCAUUCCCAUCUCUCUCCUGGCACUCAUAGGCCUGGGGAAUGAGGUGAGCUGAGAGACUAUCCUGCCCAAACACAGGAGUAUUGACCAGAUGAACUUGAUCUUGGGCUAGCAUCUCACCAUUGUCACAAU